GACGAACGCUUGCUUCUUUCUUCCCCCCUUCACGUCGACCGGCCCGGCCCUGCUUUUGUGUGGUGCUCGAGUGGCGAACGGGUGAGUACCACGUGAGUAACCUGCCCUUGACUUUGGGAUAACUUCAGGACACUGGGGCUAAUACCGGAUAGGAGCUCCUGCUGCAUGGUGGGGGUUGGAAAGUUUCGGCGGUUGGGGAUGGACUCGCGGCUUAUCAGCUUGUUGGUGGGGUAGUGGCUUACCAAGGCUUUGACGGGUAGCCGGCCGGAGAGGGUGACCGGACACAUUGGGACGGAGAUACGGCCCAGACUCCUACGGGAGGCAGCAGGGGGGAAUAUGGCACAAGGGGCGGAAGCCGGAUGCAGCAACGCCGCGUGCGGGAGGAAGGCAGGCGGGUUGUAAACCGCUUUCGCCGGGGACGAAGCGGGAGUGACGGGAAUGGGUAAAGAAGCAAAGGCGAAAGACGGG
rnacentral:rRNA from 1 species